rnacentral:rRNA from 1 species
GGCCGGCCACACUGGAACUGAGACACGGUCCAGACUCCUACGGGAGGCAGCAGUGGGGAAUCUUGCACAAUGGACGAAAGUCUGAUGCAGCAACGCCGCGUGGGGGAUGAAGCUUUUCGGAGUGUAAACCCCUUUCGACCCGGAAGAAAGCCCGCAAGGGUUUGACGGUACGGGUAUAAGAAGCCCCGGCUAACUACGUGCCAGCAGCCGCGGUAAAACGUAGGGGGCCAGCGUUGCUCGGAAUUACUGGGCGUAAAGGGUCCGUAGGCGGUGUGGCAAGUCGGUAGUGAAAUCUCUGGGCUUAACCCAGAGGCUGCUGCCGAAACUGCUAUGCUAGAGUGUGAGAGAGGCGAGUGGAAUUACGGGUGUAGCGGUGAAAUGCGUAGAUAUCCGUAGGAACAUCCGAGGCGAAGGCGGCUCGCUGGAUCACAACUGACGCUGAGGGACGAAAGCUAGGGGAGCAAACAGGAUUAGAUACCCUGGUAGUCCUAGCCCUAAACCAUCAGGACUUGGGGUGUGCCCUGUACGGGGCACGUCCCGUAGCUAACGCGUUAAGUCCUGCGCCUGGGGAGUACGGUCGCAAGGCUGAAACUCAAAGGAAUGA